rnacentral:rRNA from 1 species
UACGUAUGGAGCAAGCGUUAUCCGGAAUUAUUGGGCGUAAAGCGUGCGUAGGUGGCUAAUUAAGUCUGAUGUGAAAUCUCAUAGCUUAACUAUGAGUGGUCGUUAGAAACUGGUCAGCUUGAAUCCAAAAGAGGUAAGUGGAAUUCCAUGUGUAGCGGUAAAAUGCAUAGAUAUAUGGAGGAACACCAGUGGCGAAGGCGGCUUACUGGUUUGGCAUUGACACUGAGGCACGAAAGCGUGGGUAGCAAAC